rnacentral:rRNA from 1 species
GGGGAAUUUUCCGCAAUGGGCGAAAGCCUGACGGAGCAAUACCGCGUGAGGGAGGAAGGCUCUUGGGUCGUAAACCUCUUUUCUCAGGGAAGAACACAAUGACGGUACCUGAGGAAUAAGCAUCGGCUAACUCCGUGCCAGCAGCCGCGGUAAUACGGAGGAUGCAAGCGUUAUCCGGAAUGAUUGGGCGUAAAGCGUCCGCAGGUGGCUAUGUAAGUCUGCUGUUAAAGAGUCUAGCUCAACUAGAUACAAGCAGUGGAAACUACAAGGCUAGAGUACGUUCGGGGCAGAGGGAAUUCCUGGUGUAGCGGUGAAAUGCGUAGAGAUCAGGAAGAACACCGGUGGCGAAGGCGCUCUGCUAGGCCGUAACUGACACUGAGGGACGAAAGCUAGGGGAGCGAAUGGGAUUAGAUACCCCAGUAGUCCUAGCCGUAAACGAUGGAUACUAGGCGUGGCUUGUAUCGACCCGAGCCGUGCCGUAGCUAACGCGUUAAGUAUCCCGCCUGGGGAGUACGCCGGCAACGGUGAAACUCAAAGGAAUUGACGGGGGCCCGCACAAGCGGUGGAGUAUGUGGUUUAAUUCGAUGCAACGCGAAGAACCUUACCAAGGCUUGACAUGUCGCGAAUCUCGGUGAAAGCUGAGAGUGCCUUCGGGAGCGCGAACACAGGUGGUGCAUGGCUGUCGUCAGCUCGUGUCGUGAGAUGUUGGGUUAAGUCCCGCAACGAGCGCAACCCUCGUUUUUAGUUGCCAGCAUUAAGUUGGGCACUCUAGAGAGACUGCCGGUGACAAACCGGAGGAAGGUGGGGAUGACGUCAAGUCAGCAUGCCCCUUACGCCUUGGGCUACACACGUACUACAAUGCUCCGGACAGAGGGCAGCAAGCAUGCGAAUGCAAGCAAAUCCCGUAAACCGGAGCUCAGUUCAGAUCGCAGGCUGCAACUCGCCUGCGUGAAGGAGGAAUCGCUAGUAAUUGCAGGUCAGCAUACUGCAGUGAAUUCGUUCCCGGGCCUUGUACACACCGCCCGUCACACCAUGGAAGCUGGUAGUGCCCGAAGUCAUUACUCCAACCUUUCGGGGAGGAGGAUGCCUAAGGCAGGACUGGUGACUGGGGUGAAGUCGUAACAAGGUAGCCGUACCGGAAGGUGUGGCUGGAUCACCUCCUU